AUUGAACGCUGGCGGCAGGCCUAACACAUGCAAGUCGAACGAGUGGCGGACGGGUGAGUAAUGUCUGGGAAACUGCCCGAUGGAGGGGGAUAACUACUGGAAACGGUAGCUAAUACCGCAUACCAUCGGAUGUGCCCAGAUGGGAUUAGCUAGUAGGUGGGGUAACGGCUCACCUAGGCGACGAUCCCUAGCUGGUCUGAGAGGAUGACCGUCCACACUGGAACUGAUACACGGGCCAGACUCCUACGGGAGUCAGCAGUGGGGAAUAUUGCACAAUGGGCGCAAGCCUGAUGCAGCCGUGCCGCGUUGAUGAAGAAGGCCUGCGGGUUGUAAAGUACUUUCAGCGGGGAGGCGUUACCCGCAGAAGAAGCACCGGCUAACUCCGUGCCAGCAGCCGCGGUAAUUC
rnacentral:rRNA from 1 species